AGGGGCUUGUCGAGCUGAAAAAUGAAGUGGUGCUUGUGGCAAAACUUCAGCAUAGGAAUCUGGUGAGGCUAAUUGGUUGCUGCUUGGAAGAGCAAGAAAAGCUUCUUAUCUAUGAGUACCUGCCCAACACAAGCCUUGAUAAGUUUCUCUUUGGUAUAGCUCAUCACAGCAUAAUUGUUUAUUCACAUUGCUACUUGAUUUGAAGUUACCUUCAUUCAAUGAAGUACUCUUUUACUUGUUUUGGCCACUUUGAUACAUUUGUCGUAAAGUCAAUUUUGCUUCUAAAAUAGGUUUCCUUCUUUUUAGGGAUGUGAAAUUAUCUGUAUGAUUUAAAUGUUGUUAUUAACUGUUAUAGCUAACUGAGAAAUGCCAUAUAUAUAUAACACUAUUUUACUCAAAUGAAGCAGAUCCUGUGAGGCGCGAACAAUUAGAUUGGAUAGUACGGUACAAGAUCAUCGAAGGGAUUAGCCGAGGACUUCUCUAUCUCCACGAAGAUUCGAGGUUAAAGAUAGUUCACCGUGAUCUGAAAGCGAGCAACAUCUUGUUGGAUGCUUUUAUGACCCCUAAAAUCUCCGACUUCGGUCUCGCAAAGCUCUUUGACAUCGACACGAGUGAAGGAAACACAAGUCGGAUCGCAGGAACAUAGUAAGCACAUUCUACACCCAAAACUCAAUAAAGAAUAAAAGAUUUACUAGAGUUUCUCUCCCAACGAGAUUCUCAUAUAAUGUUGAUGCUUAAAACUUGUUGUUAAUUGCAGCGGAUAUAUGGCACCGGAGUAUGUAAUUCAUGGACAUUUCUCAACAAAAUCAGAUGUUUUUAGUUAUGGCGUGUUGCUUUUGGAGAUUGUGACUGGACGAAGAAACGCUCGCUCUCAAGAAACUAUUCAUUCAGAAGACGUUCUAUCCUAUGUAAGCAUUCUCUAUACCUUAAUAGGUGGAUAAGGUAUUCAUUUUAAAUUUACUGUCCCGGAUUCAAAUCGGAGACGGUGACAAUAAUAUAGUCAGGUUUCAAAAACCCAAAAUUUUUACUAGAGGUCCACAUGACAUUUAAAAAAAGAGUAUUCAAUCUUUGAAAAUUUUUACUUUACCCCCCUACGUUUUUUGAAGCCACGCUUUGACGCUCCCAGUCACGAUGAAUUUUUCUUAACAAAUCGAGGUAAUUUUCUACUGCUAACUAUAUAUUGCUCUUUCUUAAAUAGGUGUGGAAGCACUGGACCGAAGGGACUGCACACGAGGUGCUCGACCCGAGUCUCGGGGGGCAGUGUCGGUUGCAGGACGUGCUGAGAUGCAUCCACAUUGGGCUGCUGUGCGUCCAGGACGACCCGUCGAACCGGCCGAGCAUGACGUCCGUCGUGCUCAUGCUCAGCAGCCUCUCCUUCACCCUCCCCGCCCCCUCGGCCCCUGCUUUCGUCAUUCUGCAUGGCUCAACUGCAGACAACACGGAGGCGAUCGAGACUGAUGCGUCCGGCGGGCUGCAGCGGAGGACGACGAGGGCUGUGUCGGUGAACGAUGUCUCCAUUUCAGAAUUCGAACCACGGUAGCGUCUCGGAGCUGAGGAAUAUUGAACAGAAUUAAUAUACUGAGUUCGAGUGGCAAAAGUGUGUGAUUUUUUUACGUUGCCGAAUAAACAGCAAAGGCGUUGUGAAUCUAGCUAGAUUUACGUAAGCUUGCUUAUUUUUGUGACUUUCCUUCUUUCGAAUGCUAUGGCAAGAAGAUUUUGUUCAGUAUCUCUCUUUUAACUAUGCAAGAUGUAAUAAAAUAAAUUAUGAAAAGCCUCCUGUAUUUUAGCCCCUUUUGUACAGUCAUUGUUUAUAUUUAAAAAUUUUGUCAAUUUUUAUCCGACACUUUAUUAUAAUUUUAAAAGAUCUAAAGCUAUAUAGUAAUGGUUAAAUUUAGUUGUAAAAUUUUAUAAAAUAAAUUUAUGGAUAAAAUUAGAUAUAUUUAAUAUAUAAUAGAAUUAUAUAAAAAUAAGUUUGCAAAUAAAGUGAGUUAUAGAUACUAUUCUCUUUUUUUUGAGAAAUUAAUACACGUAACCAGUGCGUCGUGCUCGAUAUAUAUGUGUUAAACCCUACCACAACAGCAUCAAAAUUAGAAUUUAAUUUAUUCAAUGUAAUUCAUAACGUUAAAAGAUUUGCGCAUAUCAAAAAGACAUAAAUGUGAGAUAUUUAUUUUUUUGAAAACGCUAUCUAGUACGUAUGGUAAUUAGGAUUAUAAAAUUACUAUGUUUGGUUUAAUAAGAGUAUAAUUUUAGUAAUGUAGAUAGUAAUAUAUAAAAUUUUCCACAAGUAGACCCAUACUUAAAAUUUUGUGUUUACAUUUAAAAUCAAAUUUAAAAUUUAAAUGUAAACACAAAAUUUGAAUUUUAAAAUUUACACUUAAAAUGUAAAUAGCGGACAAAGAGAUAGCAACCGAAGACUUGAGCUUUCGUAUUAGUAGUGUCUAGAAAAUUUACAUUAUGAGAACUUACUGGAAAAACCAAUGGAUUUUCUUCUCCUCGAUUUGUAGACAACGUAUGCCAAGAGGAGACUCGUUGCAAUAACGAAAGUUAUGACUUAUGACACCAGGAGCAACUAUCUCCUCUUUGUCCUUCUUGCUUCCUGCAACUAAAACUUCAAGGUUUAAAUAGAACUUGCAGAUCUAAGUAUGCACUGCUCAAAAUGAUGAAACUCUUCUUCCAAAUAGACACUUAGGAACAACAAAAGCUUAUAUUGGUUGCGUCAAUUGAAGAUAAAAACAGACAACUAAAUUGAUUGUCAAUAGUUUUAUCCGAUUAGGAGUCCAUUCCCAAAAUAGAGGAAAUUUUUGUUUCACAUUUCCUAUCACAUAUUUAGCAUCGUGGCACCACACGUCCCCAAAAUAAUCCCAUGCAUAAUGACAAGAUUAGCUAGGCAUACAGGGAUUGGGCACUAGAACUAGAAAUUAACUUAAUCAGGCUAGCUCGGGCAUUUUGGGGUGCGUGGCUUGUUGGUAAAUGCCAUGCAACUACUUCUUGGGAUAUAGAAGCUACUUAGAAAGGAGUAUUGCCUCAGCAGCCACAUCAGAGGUUUGUCUAUCUCUUUAUGGCAAUCUAAAGUUGCCUUUGAGAAUCUGACACAAGAAAUGUCCAUAACUGAUUUACGACUCUUGUAUUUUGUACCAUUUACUAACAUGCUGACAUAGAAGAUUUCUCCAGGAUACUGGAAUGUAAUAUGCGACUACAGUGAUACAAUUCACAAAGGAACCGACAAAAAACCAUCACAAAAGUAAACAGUAGUAAAACAUACCUUCGCCUGCUUUCGUGGGUAGAGCAGCAUCAAAAUCCGGCAAUGGUGCGGCAGCCAAUGCAGGCGGUGGUGCCUCCGCUCCCAACUUGCUCAAAUUAUAAAAAGGACAUAUCUCAAACCGCAGAUAGCAAGUGUAAGUCAAAACAACCCCUCCCUGAUGCCCCCAACAGCAGUUGAGCAUUGCCGCCACAGCACUGGUAACAAUCAUCAUCUGACCGGUCCCUCAUGCACUGCACCAACCCAAACAUCUUAAUCAAGCUCGUGAAGGGCACCUCACCGGUUGCAGACAUUCGAUUUGACUCGUAAGCCGCCCGCUUCGCUAACCCGCCCAUCAAAUCCCUGUACAUGAGGGAGAAAACUGAUCAAAAACUGUGAAAAGAUAUUAGUUUUGGAAACCACAUUUGCUUAAUCGGAAAAAGAAUUUGGAAUUGAGUAUCAAAAUGUCCCUAUAAUUUCACACUUUUAUAGCUAUAAAAUUAGUAAGACGCACAGAAUAAAUGUAAUGCAGACUAAGAAAAAUAAGCAACAAAUGUGGCGUUGGGCUACGUCGGCGGCGGGCAUGGCAGCGGACAGCGCCGGAUUGGGGUGACUCCGGGCGGAUUUGGGCGAUGUCGGCGGCGGGCAUGACAGCGGACCCAUUGAAGAAAAAACUUAAUGGGAGCACUACCAUAAACAAGCAAUAGAAACAGAGAACAAGAGAUGACAAUAACACAAGAAAUUUAUGUAGUUUGACCAAUAAUAUAUCAACUUACAGCCACGAACAAAUCGAAUUCAAUAUCUUUUUUGACUAAUCUACGGUGGAAAGGUAUAAAAUGUAGAUUAGAUAUAAGAAAUCACUUUUUAGAACUUUCACACGCUUUCUCUUGACUAGAAUUUUACAACGAAACUUCCUACAAGAUCCUCUCAAAAUGUUCUCACUAGGGAUUUCAGGUUCAAAACCGCCUCGGGCUGUCGAAUCCGAUCGGUUGAAUCGCCAAAUCCGACUGAUCAGCUUAUAUACCAAAUCCACCCGAGUGAUGCGAUCAGUCGGAAAUUAUCUUACGAGCGAUCGGACAACCCAAUCCGACCAAUUGGAUUACCCAUCUGACCGAUCGGAAGUUUGAGGGAACCUAGUUCCGACAGGUCUAUUUGGACUGAUCGGAUUGUCCUGCAAGCCAUCCCACGUUCCGAAAGAAGCAUCCAGUAACCCAAAUAUUCGACGCUGGAUCCAUGGUAGAGUUGACUAGAUCGUAGAUAACUUCACCUUGAUCCAGCAUAAACUAUAUCGACUCAAUGAACAUUGGUUUCUGCAACACAUGCUUAGUUUAAUCCUGUUUUUACGCUUUUAAUUAAAGUCAAUAUCUAAAUAUGGUAAUUAGGUACAAACAACUAAAAUAGCUGAGACCCUCAUUGGUAUGCCCCGUACGGGAAACUUAACAUGGGUGUAGAGUAGGCAUGGGAUGUUAGAUUGGGAUGCGGCGCGAGUUUGGGUGCAGAUAGAAUUAAAAUUUUCUAUCAUUAGAUAUUAAUCUAAGAAUUAAAUUUGUGCCCAUGCGAUGCAUAAAAAUAGUUAUAUUAAUUUAAUUUAUUAUAAAAAUUAGAGGUUUUUUUUUUUUUUUUUUUUUUUUUUGGGCGCGUUGGGUGGCUUCGAGCCUUCAACUCAUCGUCCGAGUCAAUAAGGUCCACGCCACAUCACUCACGUUCCCAUCUCAUGCGGAAUCAAUAGAUCAACAAUCAGGAUCACACACGCAGGUCAAGGCCAUUUUCAAUUAUCCAUUUAUUAAAUGCUGAAUUAUUGUCUCAUUAUUUCCUUUAUAUAUCCCUGUCUUUCAAUAUCAUUAAUCCCUUUCUACUUGUGAGAAAACUAUGGAGUCUCUCCCUCUCCCCUUCCUCCUCUGCUCCCUCCUCAUUCUCCUCCACACCCCCACAUCCAAAUCGGACCCCCUCCACAUCAACUGCCCCGCGAACUACACGGCAAACAGCACCUUCCAGUCGAACCUCAACCUUCUCCUGUCUUCUCUCCCCUCCGAAGCCGGCCCCUCCGGCUUCUACAACGUCUCGGUCGGUCGAAACGGUGCCGACCAAGUCUACGGCCUCGCGUUAUGCCGCGGCGACGUCUCCUCUGUCGACUGCAACACCUGCUUGACUACCGCCGCACAAGACGCUGUCGCAAAGUGCCCGCGCGGCAUGUCGAACACCCUGUGGUACGACAACUGCAUGCUGCGGUACUCCAACAAUAGCUUCUUUGGCAUCGCCAGCAGCUCGGUUCAGUUGUGCCUGGUGAACGUGCAGAACGUCACGGACCCGCAGCUGUUCGAUGACCAGCUCGGGCACCUGAUGAAUAAUUUGGCCACGGAAGCGGCCUACGGGUCGGGGCGGCCGCCGAUGUUCGCGGCAGGAAAGGGUAACUUCACGAACUUUUUGAAUAUAUACGCGAUGGCGCAGUGCACGAGGGACCAGUCGCCGGAUGACUGCUACACGUGCUUGACGACUUACAUCGGGAACAUCCCGGCUUGCUGCGGCACGAAGCAAGGCGGGAGGAUAUUAGGAGAGACUUGCACCAUCCGGUUCGAACUUUAUCUGUUUUAUAAUUUGUCGGCCGUCGAGAACGCGGCGAUCGCACCGCCGCCGCCGCCUCCCCAGGGGACGAGCUCGGUGGCGCCGCCACCACCGGCAGGGUCGGGUCAGAAUACGGCUAACAGAAGCAGUCAAACGGGCGGUGAGGGCAGCGGAGGUAAGUCAAAGUCCUUUUCCCUCGUUGACUUUCUGAUGUUCGGGAUUGGCUUCUAUUCAUAGGUAUGCGGCAUCGCAUUAAUUGCACGUGGCCGUGGAUAGUUUUAUAAGCAUGCGUGAUUUUGUCAAGAAGCUCGUUAGCAAAGUUUUACUAUCACAAUUUAAUAUACUGUAUGAUUUAUCUAAUCGAAUCUUAAACCUAAACCGUAUAAUUUAUCUCGAGUCUUGAUCUGAUGGUACGUUCUAAUCUAAUCAAACCUUAGCACUAAAUAGUACAAUUAGUUUAGAGGGGCCAAUUAAGAAAGAAUGAGGUGCUCUACCGAAAUUUUAGACUUGCAGGACUUCUUUGCCCCUCGUGUUGCGUGCGAGAGUCGUCCGCUAGCGAGGGGAUGUUGCUUUCAAAGUAAACAAUAUGGUCUUCAAUUUGGUGGAGAAAAAUAAUCUUUGCAAGGACUUUGUUCAUUUUCUUAAAAAUUAACGAAACUAGAAAUAUGAAAUAACUAGUUUCAAACGUGAACUCUUCUAUAUCAAUUAUUAAAUUUUUAGCUACCUGUAGAAGAUACGAUCAGUAACAAAUAUGAAAAGUUACCGAUAGUUCCUAACGCAAAUGACAAAAAGACUUAAUGGUUGGUACCCGAGACCCAAGUUGGAAUCCUAGUUGAUUCAUAUUUCCAACUAAAUUUAUUUCUAAAUACUACAUUUCUCUCCAAAAAAAAAAAAAAAAACAAUUAUGNNNNNNNNNNNNNNNNNNUCUCUCAAAAAAAAAAAAAAAAAACAAAUAUGAAAAGUUAGAAGUCAUAAGCAUAUGUAUAAAUAUAUACACACAUGGAAAGCUGUGUUAGUUACCAAAAGGAACCGACUCAUUUUGCUUGAUUCGACUUAUUAAUAUUUUGACUCUUUUUCCGUGUUUGUUUACUGCUUUUGUUUUCGUUCUAUCUUCUUUCUGUUUUUUCUUCCGGUCCCUUCAGGAGGCCUUAGCUGCCUCCAUCAUGUACGCCUAGUUCAUUUUGCUUAAUGAAUGAAGCAGGUAGCUUCGCUAUCUAUUUCUCAAAAAAAAAUAUUUUGACUCUUUCUUUUUUUUAAAAAAAAAGAUUAAUAAUCCGACUUGCUUUGAUAUUACGUGUUAAAGGUUAAAGGGAAAGAAACCAGAUUAAAUGAAUAUUGAAUUCAAUCUUAAAUUCCCUUUUGUUUGAUUUCGAGAACUAAGUAGGAUCACUUACUUUUUGUGCAGGAAUUAAUGGAACUACAAAGACAAUUAUUAUUGUUGCCAGUUCUGUGGUUGCUGCUGCAUUGUUGCUUCUCUUCGCUAUCUCUCUCUGCCUGAGAAUAAGAAAGAAACAAAGAAAACCAGUUAGAAAUGCUCCGAUCAGUAAGCUCCGCACAUAACUACACAUAAUUCAACACACACAGUGAAACAUAAAAAUUCAUUUAUGUACUAAGAUCCUGCUCUUCAUGAAGCAAAUGGAGGAGAUGAACAGGAAAUUAGAAGUGCGGAAUCUCUAUUGUUCGAUUUGGCCACAAUAAGAGCUGCCACAAGCAACUUCUCAGAGGCAAAUAAGUUAGGAGAAGGUGGAUUUGGACCAGUGUAUAAGGUGAAUUCUCCACUCUUAAGUGCUCCAAUUCAAUUAAUUAAUCUGCAAAAGACAAUAUAUUUAGCUUUUGUGUUCUGAAUGUUAAGAACUAUUAGCCUCUAAGAGUUUUAACAGCUAAAAAACAGUAUUUUAAUAUUUGGUAACCAUCAUUUUCUUUCAUGACUUGGGUCGAGACUUUUUUAUUAACUCAGAACCUUUUGCUCUGAUAAUAUAUAUUAAUAACUAUUUAUUUCUAAAAGUUUAUAAUACUAUAAAAUAAAUUUUUUUAAACAUUUGUGUUUGACACUGAAAACAGGGGAUGCUACAAGAUGGGCAGGAAAUUGCAGUGAAGAGGCUCUCAAUGAGCUCAGCACAGGGGCUUGUUGAGUUGAAAAAUGAAGUGGUGCUUGUGGCAAAGCUUCAGCAUAGGAAUCUGGUGAGACUAGUUGGUUGCUGCUUGGAAGAGCAAGAAAAGCUUCUUAUCUAUGAGUACCUGCCCAACACAAGCCUUGAUAAGUUUCUCUUUGGUACGUCUGGUCACAUGAUUGUUAUUCACAUUGCUACUUGAUUUGAAGUAACCUUCAUUCAAUGAAGUACUCUUUUACUUGUUUUAGCCACUUGCAUACAUUUGUCGUAUAGUCAAUUUUGCUUCUAAAAUAGGUUUCCUUCUUUUUUAGGGAUGUGAAAUUAUCAGUAUGAUUGAAAUGUUGUUAUUAACUGUUACAGCUAAUUGAGAAAUGCCAU
rnacentral:lncRNA from 1 species